CUACCUGGACUAAACAUUUGCUUCGCCCCGUCUGCCUGAAUCGAACGUGCACUUGGCAGUCUUCCCUUGUCCAUACCCGUUUCCUGGGGAUCGCUACGGACCUUAAAAUACCAGCAACAGCCCCUUCGCCCCAAGGUCUUGCUCUGUCAGACUAGAGUACAGUGCCAUGAUCUCCGCUCACUGCAGCCUCAACCUCCUGGGCUCAAGCAGUCUUUCUGCCUCAGAGUGCUGGGAUUACAGACGGGAGCCACCACGCCAGGCCUACGAGAUUUGACUUGUAAAGAAUUAAUUAUAUUGACUGAGAGAGAAGCCCAGAAGAGGAAGAAGAGGAAAGAAAAGGAGUCAGGGAUGGCUCUUACACAGGGACCUUUGACAUUCAGGGAUGUAGCCAUAGAAUUCUCUCAGGAGGAGUGGAAAUCCCUGGACCCUGUGCAGAAAGCUUUGUACUGGGAUGUGAUGUUGGAGAACUACAGGAACCUGGUCUUCCUGGGUUUGAUGUGUGAAUAAUUACAUUGACUGAGAAAGAAACCCAGAAGAGGAAGAAGAGGAAGGAAAAGGAGUCAGUGAUGGCUACUCAGGGGCAUUUGACAUUCAAGGAUGUAGCCAUAGAAUUCUCUCAGGAGGAGUGGAAAUGCCUGGAGCCUGUGCAGAAAGCUUUGUACAAGGAUGUGAUGUUGGAGAACUAUAGGAACCUGGUCUUCCUAGGUAUCUCUCCUAAAUGUGUGAUCAAGGAAUUACCACCAACAGAGAACAGUAAUACAGGAGAAAGGUUCCAAACAGUGGCACUGGAAAGACAUCAAAGCUAUGAUAUUGAAAAUUUAUACUUCAGGGAAAUACAGAAACAUCUACAUGACCUUGAAUUUCAAUGGAAAGAUGGUGAAACAAAUGAUAAAGAAGUGCCAGUGCCCCAUGAAAACAAUCUUACUGGUAAAAGAGAUCAACAUAGUCAAGGGGAUGUAGAAAACAAUCAUAUUGAAAACCAGCUUACAUCAAACUUUGAGUCACGUCUGGCUGAACUGCAGAAAGUUCAAACUGAAGGGAGACUUUAUGAAUGUAAUGAAACGGAGAAGACAGGUAAUAAUGGUUGUUUAGUUUCUCCACACAUUAGGGAAAAAACGUAUGUAUGUAAUGAAUGUGGCAAAGCCUUUAAAGCGUCUUCCAGCCUUAUUAAUCAUCAGAGGAUACAUACUACAGAGAAACCUUACAAAUGCAAUGAGUGUGGCAAAGCCUUUCAUCGGGCCUCACUACUAACUGUACACAAGGUAGUCCAUACAAGAGGGAAAUCAUAUCAAUGUGAUGUAUGUGGCAAGAUCUUCAGAAAAAAUUCAUAUUUUGUAAGACACCAAAGGAGUCACACUGGACAGAAACCCUACAUAUGUAAUGAAUGUGGCAAGUCCUUUAGUAAAAGUUCCCACCUUGCAGUUCAUCAGAGAAUUCAUACCGGUGAAAAACCUUACAAAUGUAAUCUGUGUGGGAAAUCCUUUAGUCAGCGUGUCCAUCUUAGACUUCAUCAGACAGUUCAUACUGGAGAGAGACCCUUCAAAUGUAAUGAGUGUGGCAAAACCUUUAAACGGAGCUCAAACCUCACUGUACAUCAGGUAAUCCAUGCAGGAAAGAAACCAUAUAAAUGUGAUGUAUGUGGCAAGGCAUUCAGACAUAGAUCAAAUCUUGUAUGUCACCGGAGAAUCCACAGUGGAGAGAAACAAUACAAAUGCAAUGAAUGUGGCAAGGUCUUCAGUAAACGUUCAAGUCUUGCAGUGCAUCGACGAAUUCACACUGUAGAGAAACCUUGCAAAUGCAAUGAAUGUGGCAAGGUCUUCAGUAAACGUUCAAGUCUUGCAGUGCAUCAGAGAAUUCAUACUGGACAGAAAACUUACAAAUGCAAUAAAUGUGGCAAGGUGUACAGUAAGCAUUCACAUCUUGCAGUGCAUUGGAGAAUUCAUACCGGCGAGAAAGCUUAUAAAUGCAAUGAAUGUGGCAAAGUUUUCAGCAUACAUUCACGACUUGCAGCUCAUCAGAGAAUUCAUACUGGAGAGAAACCUUACAAAUGCAAUGAAUGUGGCAAGGUCUUCAGUCAACAUUCACGUCUUGCAGUGCAUCGGAGAAUUCAUACUGGAGAGAAACCUUACAAAUGCAAAGAAUGUGGCAAGGUCUUCAGUGACCGUUCAGCUUUUGCAAGGCAUCGGAGAAUUCAUACUGGAGAGAAGCCUUACAAAUGCAAAGAAUGUGGCAAGGUCUUCAGUCAAUGUUCACGUCUUACAGUGCAUCGGAGAAUUCAUAGUGGAGAGAAACCUUACAAAUGCAAUGAAUGCGGCAAGGUCUACAGUCAGUAUUCACAUCUUGUAGGGCAUCGAAGAGUUCAUACUGGAGAGAAACCAUACAAAUGUCAUGAAUGUGGCAAAGCCUUUAAUCAGGGCUCCACACUCAAUAGACAUCAGAGAAUUCAUACCGGAGAGAAACCUUACAAAUGCAAUCAGUGUGGGAAUUCCUUUAGUCAGCGUGUCCAUCUUAGACUUCAUCAGACUGUUCAUACUGGAGACAGACCUUACAAAUGUAAUGAGUGUGGCAAAACCUUUAAACGGAGCUCAAACCUCACUGCACAUCAGAUAAUUCAUGCAGGAAAGAAACCAUAUAAAUGUGAUGAAUGUGGCAAGGUAUUCAGGCAUAGUUCACAUCUUGUAAGUCACCAGAGAAUCCACACUGGAGAGAAAAGAUACAAAUGUAUUGAAUGUGGCAAAGCCUUUGGGCGGUUGUUUUCCCUCAGCAAACACCAAAGAAUUCAUUCUGGCAAAAAACCUUAUAAAUGUAAUGAGUGUGGGAAAUCUUUUAUUUGUCGCUCAGGCCUCACUAAACAUCGAAUAAGACAUACUGGAGAGAGCCUUACAACUAAACUCAAUGUGACAAGGCCUUAGACGUUGUCCUAGUUUCUGGAAUCACCGAAUAAUUCCUACUUACUGAUAUACCUUGUAUAUUUACCCCUUCUCUUGAAAUCCCUGUGGAAUUGUAAUCUCCAGUAUUGGAGGUGGGGCCCAUUGGGAGGUGAUUGAAUCAUGGAAGUGGAUUUCUCAAACUGAGAAAGAUGUAGCGUCAUCCCCUUGGUGCUGUCCUGGCAAUAGUGACUUCUCUUGAGGUCUGGCUGUUUAGAAGUGCAUAGCACUUCCCUGUCGCUUGCCCUCAUUCUCACCAUGUGAAAUACCGACACCCGCUUUGCCUUCCACCAUGAUUUUAACCUUCCUGAGGCUUCCCUAGAGGGUGAUCAGAUGCCAGCACCAUGUUUUCAUUUAAGCCUUCAGAAAUAUGAGCCAAUUAAACUCUUUUCUUUAUACAUUAGCCAGCCUCAGGUUUUUUUUUGUAGCAAUGCAGUUAUGACCUAAUACAUUUACACAUGCAGUAAAUAUACCUAAGUUUUAAGCUAGUAUUCACUACUCACUAGGUGUAAGAAUUUGUAUAUAUAUUCCAGGAUGUAUACAUCCUGGAGAAAAAUCACAGAAGUGUAAUACGUGUGGCAAGAAUUCUACUCAAAAGCCAGAACUUGUAAAUCUAGGUAAUUAAAAGGGCAUAGAUGUAUGAAAUGAAAUGAGGGUGGCAAAACCUUUACUAGAGUUCAAUCACUACUUGUCAUAAGAGAGUUUAUACUGAAAGGAAAUCAUAUAAAUGUAUGUGUCAGAGGCUUUCCCCAGGCAUUGGAACUCACUAGGCAUCAGAAUAUACAUCUUUGAGAGGAACCACAGAAAUGUAAUGUGCAUGCUAAGGUUUUUACCCGAACAUCAAAAUGGAAAGAGUAUUCAUACUAGAGACAACCUUCCAAAUAAAUGGUUUUAAAAAAUGAAAUGUUCAAAGACCUGGAAUCAACCCAAAUGCUUAUCAGUGAUAGACUGAAUAAAGAAAAUGUGGUACAUAUACACCAUGGGAUACUAUGCAGCCAUAGAAAGGAAUGAGAUCAUGUCCAUUGCAGCGAUGUGGAUGGAGCUGGAAGCCAUUAUCCUCAGGAAACUAACACAGGAACAGAAAAUCAAACAGCACAUGUUCUCACUUAAAAGUGGAAGCUGAACAAUGAGAACACAUAUACCCAGGGAGGGGAGCAACACACACUGGGGCCUGCUGAUGGGGGUGGGAAGGGCAGGGAAGUGGAGCAUCAGGACAAAUAGCUAAUGCAUUUUUGCCUUAAUACCAGGUGAUGGGUUGGUAGAUGCAGCAAACCACCAUGGCACACAUUUUCCUAUGUAACAAAUUUGCAAAUUGUGCACAUGUACCCAGAACUUAAAGUGAGACAAAACCAAUGUCCACGCCUUUGCAGUUUGAUUGAACGUAUAAAGGAGAAAAAUCCUGUAAGUAUGCUGAACAUGAAAGGACCUGGAAGCAGUAGUGUGUCUUCAGCCUUUACCAAAUUAUCCCUACUUGAGAGAAAACUUGGAAAUGUAAUCAAUGUGGCACAAAUUUCAACCAGUUUUUUAAACAGACUACACAUCUUUGAAAUCAUACUAGGGAUAACCAAAUCUGCUUCUCCAAGAUUGGCCUGGAAUAUUAUUACAGAAUAACUACCAGACAACAUUUGUUAAAACUCAGGACAGUAUGUAUUUUAAAGGAGCAAGUGCAUGUGUGAAAAUGGCUCAUUCAGUUUAUAA
rnacentral:lncRNA from 1 species